rnacentral:rRNA from 1 species
AGUGAACGCUGGCGGCAGGCCUAACACAUGCAAGUCGAGCGGCAGCGCGGGGGCAACCCUGGCGGCGAGCGGCGGACGGGUGAGGAAUGCAUCGGAAUCUACCUCGUUGUGGGGGGAUAACGUAGGGAAACUUACGCUAAUACCGCAUACGACCUACGGGUGAAAGUGGGGGACCUUCGGGCCUCACGCGAUGAGAUGAGCCGAUGCCGGAUUAGCUAGUUGGCGGGGUAAAGGCCCACCAAGGCGACGAUCCGUAGCUGGUCUGAGAGGAUGAUCAGCCACACUGGAACUGAGACACGGUCCAGACUCCUACGGGAGGCAGCAGUGGGGAAUAUUGGACAAUGGGCGCAAGCCUGAUCCAGCCAUGCCGCGUGUGUGAGGAAGGCCUCGGUU